rnacentral:lncRNA from 1 species
CAUGUGUUCAUCUUUACAAACCAAUUUGGUCCUGGUCAUUUUACUGUAUUCCUACUUCACUUAUACCGUAUCCUCUUCUCUGUUUCCCUCCUCGUGUCAGCUGCAGGGACAGUUUCAUCUAAAUGGAAUGAACAAGGUUGGAGAUAUCAUUCUGGGGGGACUGUUUCCAGUUCACUUUUUCUCAAGUGUUCCUCAUCCAUCUUUUACCUCAGAGCCACAACAGCCUACUUGCCAUAGGUGAGUUAUUUUGCCACAUGUUCUUGUUUGAGUGACCAUCGAAAAUAUCCAUCCUUCUUUAGGACAAUCCCAAGUGAUGCUUUCCAGGUAAAAUUCAAUCAGCAGAAUUAUUACAAUUGCCAGUAGAUGAUAAGUAGCUAAUCCAUUGAAAGUUUUCUUAUUAUCUAUGCUCUCA